rnacentral:rRNA from 1 species
UACAGAGGGGGCAAGCGUUUGUUCGGAAUUACUGGGCGUAAAGGGCGCGUAGGCGGCCUUCUAAGUCGAACGUGAAAUCCCCGGGCUCAACCCGGGAACUGCGUCCGAUACUGGAAGGCUUGAAUUCGGGGAGAGGGAUGCGGAAUUCCAGGUGUAGCGGUGAAAUGCGUAGAUAUCUGGAGGAACACCGGUGGCGAAGGCGGCAUCCUGGACCGGCAUUGACGCUGAGGCGCGAAAGCCAGGGGAGCAAACGGG